AUGCUAGUCCGCAAGUUUUGGUGGGGGAGUAGAGAUGGCAAGCGAAAGCCAAACUGGGUAUCCUGGAAGGAUAUGACGCAACCCAAAGAUAUGGGAGGAUUAGGGUUUAAGGACUUCAAGCUUUUUAACCUAGCCUUGCUUGCUAGGCAGGCAUGGCGGAUUCUGCAAAAUCCAGACGCUCUGAGCUCCCAAAUCUUGAAAGGAGUUUACUUCCCAAAUACAACAAUACUAGAAGCCAACAUCGGCAGCCACCCGAGCCAAAUCUGGAGGGCAAUAGUCGAAGGAAGAGAUAUAUUGAAACAAGGUCUAAUUAGAAGGAUUGGCAAUGGUGCAAGCACUAAUAUUUGGAAUGAUAAUUGGAUCCAAGGAGAUGAAUUCCUGAGACCUUAUGGAAGCAGAGUUGCAAACCCCCCAGAAAAUGUUUCUGAAUUAAUAGACGCUACGGUGGCGUGCUGGAAUAUUAACGGAUCAAAGAAGUUCUUUUGCCCAUAG
rnacentral:rRNA from 1 species